rnacentral:rRNA from 1 species
CCUACGGGGGGCAGCAGUGGGGAAUAUUGGACAAUGGGGGGAACCCUGAUCCAGCCAUGCCGCGUGUGUGAAGAAGGCCCUCGGGUUGUAAAGCACUUUCAGUGAGGAAGAACGCCUGGUGGUUAAUACCCAUCAGGAAAGACAUCACUCACAGAAGAAGCACCGGCUAACUCCGUGCCAGCAGCCGCGGUAAUACGGAGGGUGCGAGCGUUAAUCGGAAUUACUGGGCGUAAAGCGCGCGUAGGUGGCUUGAUAAGCCGGUUGUGAAAGCCCCGGGCUCAACCUGGGAACGGCAUCCGGAACUGUCAAGCUAGAGUGCAGUAGAGGAAGGUAGAAUUCCCGGUGUAGCGGUGAAAUGCGUAGAGAUCGGGAGGAAUACCAGUGGCGAAGGCGGCCUUCUGGACUGACACUGACACUGAGGUGCGAAAGCGUGGGUAGCAAACAGGAUUAGAUACCCCUGUAGUC